GGUGAACGCUGGCGGUAGGCCUAACACAUGCAAGUCGAACGGCAGCACAGUAAGAGCUUGCUCUUACGGGUGGCGAGUGGCGGACGGGUGAGGAAUACAUCGGAAUCUACUUUUUCGUGGGGGAUAACGUAGGGAAACUUACGCUAAUACCGCAUACGACCUACGGGUGAAAGCAGGGGAUCUUCGGACCUUGCACGAUUGAAUGAGCCGAUGUCGGAUUAGCUAGUUGGCGGGGUAAAGGCCCACCAAGGCGACGAUCCGUAGCUGGUCUGAGAGGAUGAUCAGCCACACUGGAACUGAGACACGGUCCAGACUCCUACGGGAGGCAGCAGUGGGGAAUAUUGGACAAUGGGCGCAAGCCUGAUCCAGCCAUACCGCGUGGGUGAAGAAGGCCUUCGGGUUGUAAAGCCCUUUUGUUGGGAAAGAAAAGCAGCAGGUUAAUACCCCGCUGUUCUGACGGUACCCAAAGAAUAAGCACCGGCUAACUUCGUG
rnacentral:rRNA from 1 species